rnacentral:tRNA from 1 species
GCCUCAGUAGCAUAGUGGUUAGGGCACAGCCCCGGAUAGGUUCAGACGCGGGAUCGAAUCCCGCCUGAGGUG